UACGAAGGGUGCAAGCGUUACUCGGAAUUACUGGGCGUAAAGGGCUCGUAGGCGGCCAACUAAGUCAUACGUGAAAUCCCUCGGCUUAACCGGGGAACUGCGUCCGAUACUGGAUGGCUUGGAUUUGGGAGAGGGAUGCGGAAUUCCAGGUGUAGCGGUGAAAUGCGUAGAUAUCGUGAGGAACACCGGUGGCGAAGGCGGCAUCCUGGACCAAUAUUGACGCUGAGGAGCGAAAGCCAGGGGGAGCAAACGGG
rnacentral:rRNA from 1 species